AUGGAGGAAACUCUGACCCAGCGACGCCGCGUGCGGGAUGAAGGCCUUCGGGUUGUAAACCGCUUUCAGUAGGGAAGAAGCGAAAGUGACGGUACCUACAAAAGAAGCACCGGCUAACUAUGUGCCAGCAGCCGCGGUAAUACAUAGGGUGCAAGCGUUGUCCGGAAUUAUUGGGCGUAAAGAGCUCGUAGGUGGUUCGUCACGUCGGAUGUGAAACUCUGGGGCUUAACCCCAGACCUGCAUUCGAUACGGGCGAGCUUGAGUAUGGUAGGGGAGUCUGGAAUUCCUGGUGUAGCGGUGGAAUGCGCAGAUAUCAGGAGGAACACCAAUGGCGAAGGCAGCCCCCUGGGAUAACACUGACGUUCAUGCACGAAAGCGUGGGGAGCAAACAGGAUUAGAUACCCUGGUAGUCCACGCCCUAAACGAUGCUGACUAGUUGUUGGGAAUUUACAUUCUCAGUAACGUAGCUAACGCGUGAAGUCAGCCGC
rnacentral:rRNA from 1 species